CCGGCGCGUUGCCCAGUGCAGAGGCUGCGACCUUCAGCGGCGCACUGCCCUUCGGCGCCACCAUCAGCGGUUCGAAGCCCGGCGCGCUGGC
rnacentral:tRNA from 1 species